AAGUCAAUAUCGCUUAAUCCUAAUAAUAGGAGCGGGGGAACCAAUUAUAGAGUGUAAGAACUCUGGGGGUGAAUCAAACGAAACAACCGUUUGUAGGGCUACUUCUUAGUCCGAAUCCGACAGCUAACCUCGUCAGCGUUAGAGGAGUUGAUUA
rnacentral:sRNA from 1 species